rnacentral:precursor_RNA from 10 species
AGCCUAUAAACACCUAAGGUGACUUCCGACGCGGGCUUAUAGGUCCAGAAGAUGAAUGCGAUAGUCUCUACUGGCCUUUAUAGUCCCACUCGGAUACCCUUAAAAACGACGGAAUAGUAA